rnacentral:lncRNA from 7 species
AUGAAGAGGAUGAAAACUCCAAGAGGUCCGGAGUAGAAUGGAUACUACCUCCACUGAACUGUAGCUUUGCAGGUCAAGGACCAACCUGCAGCCCUCUAUGGACCAAUGAGACAUCACUGAAUCCGCAGUGGUUAUUUGCAUUUGGGGAGUAGUGUUCUCAACACACCAAAAUGUUGCGAUCUCCUACAGAGAGAGAAUGAAGAUGAAUGGCUUUGGUUGGUGUAUCGAACCCAUUGCAAGAUUCUACUGGAGAAGAAAGCAGAGAGAAAUGGGAAAGGAAGCCUUCAGAGCAAACCUUGGUUUUGACUGAAGCAGUUCUGCAGCUUUUGGAAAUCUUAGCAGUUCCAGGAGCAAGGAACAUAACACUUAUGUCUUCUUAUGAAGAUGGCUGAAAUGCAGUGACUUCUGUUGCAAGACAGGAAAAUCACUUCAAGAUAAAAUGUCUGCUAAUUGUUACAUUCUUACUGUCAAUCUGUUGUCUUAAAUCAAAUCUUGUUCUAGAAAGCAAGCACUUUACAAUGAAUUUAAAAUAUAUUAAAUAAACGUUCAAGCCUAUGGCACUGGAUUAUAGACUACUGAGUUUCCUUGUGAGUAAAAAAUAGUAAGAGUUGUUUAUUCUAUUUCAAAUCAUAACACUAUUCCAAGAUAUGUUUCUUUACAGGGACAUGCAAGAUUAAGUUUAAACAAAAUUCAGACAAUUCAACAUUAUUAACACUGAUCUAUUGAUACAAAAAUGCCCAAGAGAAAGGAACUAUUUAAUUUGCUGAAGAGCUCUAAUAAGAUGUAUUAAUCAAACAUAUCUAGAUUUAGCUGAAAUACUUUUUUAUAUCAAAAGUAUUAGUAGUAUUGAAAAGCAACGUUAGUUACUUUUAUAUGUAUAUAAAAAGCAUGCAGAUGCAUGCAUCCCCCUUACUUUCUAUGUUUCUUACUUAUUCAUAGACUUCUUCUGUUCUGUUUCCUUCCAAUGCCAACACCUCCUUUCUUUGUUAAAUAUUACCCUAAUACAAAUACAAUGAAGUAAAUACUUUCAUUUUAAAACUUUUUACCUCCAAAAGAAUUAAGCAGUUUUCAGUAUGGACUACAUGCCAGUUGUCAUGCAUGAUAUUAUAGACAACAUCAUACAGACUAUGAGAAAUUCACAAAUAUAACAUUUCUGGAAAUACCUCAAAAAGGACAUUUCCAUUCUGGAAAAGCUUGGUUUGAUACCAAGGUUUGAUAACCUUGGCUUAUCAUGGACAAUGUCAAUAAACUAACUUGAAAAAAUUUUGUCAGGAAAAAAUUAAAAAAGGGUUAUUUCAUACUUAGAAAGUUUUAAGAUGACUGUCAGAUUAUUAGUUCCAUAAAUGAGCUCUGUAAUGAAAAGACUAUCAAUAUAAAACUGUGAGCAAAAUUUGAAGCUAGCAGCUUUCUAAAAGCUGAGAAAUUUUUCCUCUCUGCAUCAGUUCCAGUGUGAAGUUCUGAUAACACCAUGGAUCUGCUAACAAUUAGUUUCCAUUUCAUAUUUAUCAUGCUACCUUAAUUAGAAGAUCUACAAAACAACUAAAUGUACUAAAGUUUAACACUUUAAACAAACUUUUCUAAUUUUCAUGGCUUGUUUUAUAACACCAUAGAGUCAGAAAAUAUUAGUAAUGAUAAACUGUAAAGCAGUUUCUUUGAUUAUAAUAAACUUCAUUUUAUUAGGAAUAAAAUGCUGACUUAUUACUUCUGAGAGAGUUGCAGGUAAAGCAAUUCAUGUGAGAACCCCUCAUGUCACUUCCCAAUGUUUUAAUUUAGCCAGUUAUAAAAUGGGGAUACUAAAUUAUGCUGUCUCACAAGUUUGAAGAUUAUGUACAUAUGUCCAGUGAACCAUGAAAAAUCUUAACAGUAUAUUUGUUAUUAAUUUUUAUUAAGCAUAUAGCUCACAUAUAUUGCUAAGUAUUAAUCCAGGAGAACAAGGCUCUAUUUUCUUUAUUGUGCAAAAAUCUAGUUAUAACUGCAUAAAGACUAAACAGCUCUAACUAAUGGAAAUGUAAUUUGAAUGCUAAGCAAUUUUCUGUUCCUAAUUAGGAAAAGGACAAGAAAAUUUGUAGUCCUGAAUUUCAUCAGGUCUGUUAUCUAGCUUAAAACAGUGUGUUACUUUGCUCUGCUCUGUAAUUUUCCAAACAUUCCUAGAAAAAUGACGUGGCAAAAAGCUAAGAAAUAUGGGAUGUUGUUGGAAAGUUUGCACACCAAUGCAUGUCUACUACUGCAAAUCCACUGUUAUUAACAGACUUUGUCUAUGACUACUUGGCUAUCAGCCCCAGAAUAGUUGCUAGCAAAUUUUUAAUGAAUCAGCUACCUUGCUAAUUUAGUAAAAUUUUGUAAAAUCU